rnacentral:rRNA from 1 species
UACGAAGGGUGCAAGCGUUACUCGGAAUUACUGGGCGUAAAGCGUGCGUAGGUGGUUUAUUAAGUCUGAUGUGAAAGCCCUGGGCUCAACCUGGGAAUGGCAUUGGAUACUGGCAGUCUAGAGUGCGGUAGAGGGUAGCGGAAUUCCCGGUGUAGCAGUGAAAUGCGUAGAUAUCGGGAGGAACAUCCGUGGCGAAGGCGGCUACCUGGACCAGCACUGACACUGAGGCACGAAAGCGUGGGGAGCAAACAGG